GCUUAGACUUUUUUUUAAGCCAAUGCCAAAUGCAACUUGAGCUGGAGUUUUCAGAUCAUCUCUAAACUUGGAACUCGUGAUUUUCAAGUGGGUUCUAAAAUUGGCAAAAUACCUCCCCCUCGCCACGGUAGCUAACGUUUUCCCAUUCUUAAGAGUUUAUCUCCUUUUCUGAGCAAGAAACCCUUUGUCCUUAGUUUUUAAGUCAUUGUUUCUAUUUCCCUGCUGGGGAGGGAGUACCAAACCACACAACCUCGGUUAUAUCGAUACAAUUAGUAUAGCAGUGCUUUGAAAGAAAAGGGGGAAGCAGAAGGGAAAAAAAGUCAUUUACCUUUCUCUCCUGUUUGGAGAGGCCCAUAAAGAGUCUCACUAGGUAGCCCCAAAAAGGAGGGCUGGGGAUCCGGCUCAGUUGAUCAAAUGCUUACUGUACAAUCAUGAGGACUGGAGUUCAGAUCUCCAUCAUCUACAUAUCCUUAUAAUACACACCCACCACACACACACAUACACACACAUCACACACACACCACACACACACACCACACACACACCACACACACACACACACCACACACACACCACAUACACACCACACACACAUCACACACACACCACACACACACACACACCACACACACACACACACACACACCACACACACCACACACACACACCACAUCACACACAUACACUACACCCAUACCCACACACAUCACAUACACCCAUCAUACACACACACCACACACACCCACACACACUACAUGCACCACAUAAACCCAUCAUACACACACACACACACACACACACACACACCACAUCACACACAUACACUACACCCAUACCCACACACAUCACAUACACCCAUCAUACACACACACCACACACACCCACACACACUACAUGCACCACAUAAACCCAUCAUACACACACACACACACACACACACACACACACACACACACUACAUGCACCACAUAAACCCAUCAUACACACACACACACACACACACACUACAUGCACCACAUAAACCCAUCAUACACACACACACACACACACACACACAUACCCAUCUCACACACACAUUCACCUAUCACACAUACAUGUCACACACACACACAUCUCUCUCUCUCACACACACACACACACCAUCUCACACACACACAUCAGACACACAUACCUAUAUCUCUCACACAUACACACAUCACACACAUACCCAUCUUAUAUGCCUCUAUACAUAUACACCCAUCUCUCACACCCAUAUACACCUCAUACACAUACAUGUCACCCCCAUCAUACACAUACAUAUACCAUCACACAUACAUAUGCCUAUCACAAUGCACCCAUUACAUAUAUCCAUCACACGAAUAUACUCACCAUACACAUACACACCUAUCACACACUCACAUCUACAAAUGCACCAUCACACACAUACAUACACUUAUCACACAUACCACACACAUACAUACACACACAAUCCAUCACCUCUCUCUCUCUCUCUCUCUCUCUCUCUCUCUCUUC
rnacentral:lncRNA from 1 species